rnacentral:rRNA from 1 species
GUACGGAAGGCAGCAGUGGGGAAUCUUGCGCAAUGGGCGAAAGCCUGACGCAGCGACGCCGCGUGAGGGAAGAAGGCCUUCGGGUUGUAAACCUCUUUCAGGAGGGACGAAGCCACUCGGGUUAAUAGCCCAGAGGGUGACGGUACCUCCAGAAGAAGCCCCGGCUAACUACGUGCCAGCAGCCGCGGUAAUACGUAGGGGGCAAGCGUUGUCCGGAUUUAUUGGGCGUAAAGAGCGUGUAGGCGGCCAUACAGGUCAGCUGUGAAAACUCGAGGCUCAACCUCGAGACGUCGGUUGAAACCGUAUGGCUAGAGUCCGGAAGAGGAGAGUGGAAUUCCCGAUGUAGCGGUGAAAUGCGCAGAUAUCGGGAAGAACACCCGUGGCGAAGGCGGCUCUCUGGGACGGUACUGACGCUGAGACGCGAAAGCGUGGGGAGCGAACAGGAUUAGAUACCCGAGUAGUCCU